UACGUAGGAGGCAAGCGUUGUCCGGAAUUACUGGGCGUAAAGCGCGUGUAGGUGGUGGGACAAGUCUGCUGUGAAAGCGCCUGGCUUAACCGGGCGAGGUCGGCGGAAACUGUCCGACUCGAGGACGGUAGAGGGGGGUGGAAUUCCCGGUGUAGUGGUGAAAUGCGCAGAGAUCGGGAGGAACACCUGUGGCGAAGGCGGCCCCCUGGGCCGGCCCUGACACUGAGACGCGAAGGCGUGGGGAGCGAACGGG
rnacentral:rRNA from 1 species